rnacentral:rRNA from 1 species
UACAGAGUUCUCAAGCGUUGUUCGGAUUCAUUGGGCGUAAAGGGUGCGUAGGCGGCGCGGUAAGUCGGGUGUGAAAUCUCGGAGCUUAACUCCGAAACUGCAUUCGAUACUGCCGUGCUUGAGGACUGGAGAGGAGACUGGAAUUUACGGUGUAGCGGUGAAAUGCGUAGAUAUCGUAAGGAAGACCAGUGGCGAAGGCGGGUCUCUGGACAGUUCCUGACGCUGAGGCACGAAGGCCAGGGGAGCAAACGGG